CAAGAAUAUACAACACCAACAUGUUGCCACACAUUUUUGAUUCAAAUUUUAUUAUGCAUGUUGCCACGUAUUUUUGUCUAACAUGGGUAUGAUUUGGCAAAAAAUAGUUGAAAGAAGGUGUUGGCGCCACCAUAAGAGAUGGUCUUUUUGUUGGAAUGAAAAGGACCGAAGAAUUUGUAUCUUCGAAGUUGCCAUGUGGUUUUUCCUAUGAGGAAGUGGUGGAUCCUGGACAGCGUACCUAGUACCAUCUCGAGCGAGGUAGCAGAGGAGGCCAUGGCGCCUGGCGGCGCCCACGAUGCCUAGCGCGAGCGGAAGCCUGCCGUGGUUGCUGGCUAAGGAAGAGAGCAUGUGUUUUUUUGUGAUCCACUCGCAAUUUUCAGUCAAAUCGAGAUAUCCAUGGAGUUCUAGAGGAAGAAGAAGACCUAGAAUAGUAGUUUGUCUUGCAGAAAGGAAGAAGAGAUGGAGUAGUUUGCCAAGCACAUCUCACGCCCUGCACUGUGUUGUUUUAUACCUUACGUGUAACCUCCCUUUUCUUGGUUGGGUGCUGAAUCGGUCAAACCAGCAUCCGGAUGCUGGGUUGGACAAAUUAGCAUCCGGAUGCUGGGAUGGACAAACCAGCACCGGAUGCUGGCUAGCCGGGUCCUUUAAUACCAAAGAAUUCUUUGCAGGAUUGCAUUG